GCAAACUUGGUCAUUUAGAGGAAGUAAAAGUCGUAACAAGGUUUCCGUAGGUGAACCUGCGGAAGGAUCAUUACCGAGUUAGGGUCGCCUCCAAACGCGCCCGACCUCCAACCCUUUGCUUACUUGACCUUUUGUUGCUUCGGCAGGCCCGUCUCGUUCUCGGGACCGCCGGGGGGUCCUCCUGACGGAGGCGCCCUGGCCCGCGCCUGCCGGUGGCCCAAAAUCAAAAACUCUUGCUUAAACGUGUCGUCUGAGUAAUUGUUAAAAACAAACAAAAAAAACUUUCAACAACGGAUCUCUUGGUUCUGGCAUCGAUGAAGAACGCAGC
rnacentral:misc_RNA from 1 species